UAUUUCAGUCUAUUUUCAUGUUAUGUUGAAUUUUGGGAAUAUUAUUUCAGCUAGUGUAAAAAGAAAGCUACUGUGAUUUCUCUCAGUUGACAUUUUACAUUCUUUGACAAAAUACAUGUAAUUCCAAAUAAUUAAUGUUUGCUUUAUUCCCUUCAGUCCCUCCAACUCCUGCUGAUUAUAUGGUUGAGAUUGAGAUUGACACAGUGGACGCAGCAGUGCUUAAUCAGCUGAGAACUCUUCUGAAGAACCUCAGUUUACCCUUCGGACUAAGUGACACUCAGAUCACUGAAUUCAACAUCACUACACGUAAUUGUUUAUUUGUGUAGCACUGUAGUUUUGUCUCCAGUAUGAACGAUUUGUCACUAGUUAUUGCUACAAUAUUUUGAUCAUUUCCUUAGAUUAUCUCAGGAAUUACAAAUAACACAUUAUUAUACGUUUGCAGCAAAGAUUACAACAUGGCUGCAACAAAAAAAUGCGUCUUCUGUUAAAUUAUUUUGUCGUGUUUCUUUUAUAGAGUGUCUUUUGAAUAAUACUGGAUACCAGUGCCGGUGUGAGGAUCAGUAUUUCUGGCCGUGUAACAAGUGUGCAGCAUAUGGACGCUGUGACAACACCCUUUCUAGCACAUGUGGAUGCAUCAGUGGUUUUCCAGAAGAUGGACAGUUCUGCCAAACACUGACAGAGCUGAAAAAUUUCACAUGUCCAGUUCCGACAGUCCCUCCAACUCCUGCUGAUUAUAUGGUUGAGAUCGAGAUUGACACAGUGGACGCAGCCGUGCUUAAUCAGCUGAGAACUGUUCUGAAGAACCUCAG